UAGAGAGGGGGCCAGGCGGCCGGGGUAAUAGUUGGGGUGGGCACGGUAAUGGGAUGGACGGGGGGUAAAGUGGGCGUGGGGGGUCGAGCAAGGCGGUGGUGAAAGCACCGGGCUGAACUUGGGAAUUGCGCUCGAAAGUACUUGGCUGGAGUGGGGCAGAGGAAGGUGGAAUUCCACGUGUAGCGGUGAAAUGCGUAGAGAUGUGGAGGAACACCAAUGGCGAAGGCAGCCUUCUGGGCCAACACUGUCGCUCAUGCACGAAAGCGUGGGGAGCAAACAGGAUUGGAUACCCGUGUAGUC
rnacentral:rRNA from 1 species